CAAGAGAGAAGGUCUGCAUAUUUGCCAGCCGGCCAGCAGUGUAGUAAACGUUAUGUGGAGUUAUUUUCCAUAUCGUUGUGUUUAUUUAUAUAAGCCCAAUUAGACCCUUUUAAAGGCUUAACUUAGUGUGGCUGCUGCAGACAGCUAGUUUACACCAAGUCCGUCUUGGCAAGACUUGAAAGCAAACAGUAAAUAGCGUAAACAAUUGUAUGUGAUUAUACACUCCUAAAUAAUGUGCAUCUGGGAUGACAAACCAAACUUAUUAAACAGACAACAAAUAGCUGAGGUAAAUAUCAAAUAUGUUAACUCUACCAAAUACAGAGCUGGAUCUCGUCAAAGCCUUAUUAACGCGGCACAGCUGGAUUAGAAUAAAAGAGCCAUUUAGACUUAAAAGCAGGGGAUCUCCAAGUUAGAAAGUCUGGAUUCUGUUCCCGUCUCCAUCACUAAUUCACUAAGUGACACUGAUUAUUACUUUGAUUUUUGCUUGUAUUUUCCCAUCAAUAGAAAGGGAAUUUCAGGACUGUUCCUGAGAGCUGGAGAGAAUGGUUGCCAGAUGCCUUCCCAGGAAGGGAACGAAAGAGAGCUGCUGUCUGGACGCCUCCUGCCUUGCUCUGCCAUCUCCCAGACCUGAUACCCCCUGGAAAAGAGAGUUGGCCUGGGCAAACAUGGAUGCAGUUUCCCUCUUGUUAGCCAGGCUGGAGUACAAUGGCGCGAUCUCGGCUCACCGCAACCUCCACCUCCCAGUUUCAGUAUAUUCUCCUGCUUCAGCCUUCCCAAGUCGCUGGAAUUACAGGCAUAUGCCACCAAGCCCGACUAAUUUUGUAUUUUUAGUAGAGAUGGGGUUUCUCCAUGUUGGUCAGACUGGUCUCGAACUCCCGACCUCGGCCUCCCAAAGUGCUGGGAUUACAGGCAUGAACCACCGCACCCAGCCUAUCACUAGACAUUCUUUAGGACUGCAGUGAUUCAAAUAAAAUGUUCUUGGAAGAACACUUGCCCAGUAGCGACAUCUCCACCAAUGAACUGACAACAAUUCUGGCUUUGAACCUCUGGAACCAAUGAACUUGUUUCUAAGCAGUUUAUGUCAAUUUAUUUUUGCUAAUAAAAGUUCCCUUCCCCCUUCCUCACUGAAUGCACUAGUGGCUUGCCAUUCCAUGCAUUCCAGUCUAUAAUCCUUACUUCUAUUCUUGAGUAAACCCAACAUAUUUAGAGACA
rnacentral:lncRNA from 10 species